rnacentral:lncRNA from 1 species
AUAUGCCAUACAUAUUUACACACUUAAUCACGAAUUGUACAUUUUUAUCAGUUCUGUUGUAUAUUAUAUUCAAGCAUGAUACUGAUAAAAAAAAUUACAAUUUAUUUUAACACGUUUUUCUAUGUACUACUUUACAUAUUAUAAGAAAAACAUUGAACUUGUGAGUUUAUAUUGUUUCUUUUUUUAUUUUAUAAACAAUAUAUAUAUAUAUAUAUAGAAUUAUCUACGUCGUAUGUAGUUAAAAUGCGAUAUAUAUUGCUAGCUACAAUGUAAUAACUUAGUUAUUUUUUUUUUUUUUAUAUAACAUAUGAUUGUCCAAAGUUUUAUCACUAUAUUACAAUUUCUUUCUACCUAUUUUUGUUUUGCUUGUUCCUCUUUUAAAUCAAAAAGCAAUCUUUUUUUUUCUCCAGUCAAACAUACUCUCUUCCUCAAUUUGAUCAAAUUGAAUGUUACUUUUUUUUUUAUCAAUAUUUUUUUUUUUUUUUUUUUUUUUUUUUUUUUUUUUUUUAUGUAAGCAUUAUUAUUAUCACUAUCACUACUAUCAUUGCUAUCUUCUUCAUUUUUAUUAUUAUCUGUCAGACUCCUACUUAACUCAUAAUCUUCCAGAUAUUUUUUUUUUUUUAAAUUUAAUAGUUUAUAUAUUUCAUCAAUAUUAAAUUUUUUAUUUUUUUCUUGUUUUGUUUGAUUAUUGUCUUUAAUUAAAUUUUUAUUUUUAUUAAAUUCGUUUAAUUCAAUUAAUAUGUUUUGUUCCUGUUCAUCAUUUUGUUCCUUUUUUUCAUCAUAUAAAUUUCCUAAUAUAUAUUUUUUUUUUUCAAUUAGCAUUUUAUGUAGAUAAUCUAGUUCCUCAUAGUAUGCCGUAUCUGAUUGUUUAUAAUGUGUUAUAUCAUAUAAAUCAUUAUUUAAUAAGUUCAUAAUAUUAUUUUCUUUUUCGUUUUUAUUAUCUUUACAUCUGUUUAUCAUAUGAUUAUUAUUAUUAUUAUCACUAUUAUCCAAAAUAUCAUUACUAUCAGAAUAAUAUCCUUCUCUUUCUUCUUUCGAAUCACUUUCAUCAUAUUUUAUUAUACUAUUAUCACUUUUUUCUAGUCUUUUUCUUUUUUUUUUUAAUUUCUUAUGUAAAUCUUUAGUUUCUGCAAGGUCUAUAUUAUUACUACUUUUGUCUUCAACAAAUUCAUAUUUUUCAAAAAUUUUUAUUUGUUUAUCAUUCUCAUCAAAAGAAUUAGAACCAUCACUUUUAUUGUCAUUAUCACUAUUACUAUUAUUACUAUUUAAAGUUGUUGGUAUAUCAAAAAAAUCGGCAGGUAAAUUAUUAUUACUAUCAUCUUGUAAUUCUUUUUUAUUAUUAGUAACAAUAUGGGUGUCUACGUUUGUAUUUGAUUUAUCGUGUAUAUAUUCUAAAAAUGCGUUCUUUAAAUUGUUACGUU